AUCAUGGCUCAGAUUGAACGCUGGCGGCAGGCCUAACACAUGCAAGUCGAACGGUAACAGGAAGAGCUUGCUUCUUUGCUGACGAGUGGCGGACGGGUGAGUAAUGUCUGGGAAACUGCCUGAUGGAGGGGGAUAACUACUGGAAACGGUAGCUAAUACCGCAUAACGUCGCAAGACCAAAGAGGGGGACCUUCGGGCCUCUUGCCAUCGGAUGUGCCCAGAUGGGAUUAGCUAGUAGGUGGGGUAACGGCUCACCUAGGCGACGAUCCCUAGCUGGUCUGAGAGGAUGACCAGCCACACUGGAACUGAGACACGGUCCAGACUCCUACGGGAGGCAGCAGUGGGGAAUAUUGCACAAUGGGCGCAAGCCUGAUGCAGCCAUGCCGCGUGUAUGAAGAAGGCCUUCGGGUUGUAAAGUACUUUCAGCGGGGAGGAAGGGAGUAAAGUUAAUACCUUUGCUCAUUGACGUUACCCGCAGAAGAAGCACCGGCUAACUCCGUGCCAGCAGCCGCGGUAAUACGGAGGGUGCAAGCGUUAAUCGGAAUUACUGGGCGUAAAGCGCACGCAGGCGGUUUGUUAAGUCAGAUGUGAAAUCCCCGGGCUCAACCUGGGAACUGCAUCUGAUACUGGCAAGCUUGAGUCUCGUAGAGGGGGGUAGAAUUCCAGGUGUAGCGGUGAAAUGCGUAGAGAUCUGGAGGAAUACCGGUGGCGAAGGCGGCCCCCUGACGAAGA
rnacentral:rRNA from 1 species